GGGUUCCUAAGGACGGCCCGUCUGUCAGCAGGCAAGCAGGCCCUGCUAGAGUGCCCAGAGAAGCUUGAGGUGGGAAAACUGGAAAGAUUGAAUGUCCUUUGGAGUUCACAGAGGUUUGGCAGUGGGAGGAGAAAAACAAAACGAAGCAUAGUGGGAGUGUUGAACAGACUUUCCCAAGAUCCCCAGGUGGGUUUCAUGUAUUGCCUAAUGGGAAGAGUGGGACCGAUUCAGCUUUUCACACUGGCUGAAUUAUCUUACCUGGGCUAUUGUUCACAGCUAGAACCAAAUCUACAAAGCUACAGUUUAUCUAAAGAAUUCUUUGGAAAGAAAACUAUUUCACUAUCCACACAUCUAGAUCCCACAUAUUGGACAGCGCAGGCUGUAGCCUCAGUCUCUAAAGUCCAGACUAUAAAAUUAAAAAAAAAAAAGUUCACAGUGUGAAAUCAUAUUUAUUCUAAAAGUAAAGAAUAAAACCUUUUCUGGCCAUUGGUGCAUAAUAGCAAAAUUUUGCUUGAAACUCAGCCAAAGAUGCCAUAAACUAUAAUAAAACGAAAGAUACCUCAUGUUCAUCAAAGUAUAUUCACAACGAGUAGUCAGGAGACUCACUACUUUCACAUUGGAAGAGAUAUUUCUGGUAAUGGCCACUGAAAUUCACUACUGGGCUUCCACAUUAAAAAAUUAAAGCCUGUCAAAUUCCUUGGGCCAGGGUAGAAGUAAAAUAGAAAAUAAAUAGCUAGAGUUCCAAACCAUUAUCUGUUUUAAAGAUUGUGAUGUGGAGCAUUGAAGUGCUAAUCUAUAUUGUAAUGCCAUCCAAUCUUUUGAAUGGAGUGCAUGUAUGUGUGUGUGUAUGUAGUUUGAUUAUGAUAAAAGUUGUUAAUAUGUGACUAUGCUAUGUGCAAGUGUGACAAAAACUCAAAAUCAGAAAAAAAUUAAUUAGAACAGAUCAAGUUCAUAUAAAACUGCUAUCCUUCUGGCCGCUGGAGUUAAACUGAAACAUUUUCCUGUACUUGCCAUAUCUCCACAUUCAUUUCUCCUUACCAAAAGAAGAAGUAGAGAAUGUCUCUCCUCGUAAAAGUCGUAUAUAAAUUUUAGCUAACAACCAUUCAGUGUUGGCAAUUUCAACUUAUAAAAGAAUCCAUUACCCCAAGAGCCAUUUACACUGGGAAUGUGAAUAAGAAGAAUCUUGACACACACACAGGCAGGCACACACACACACACACACACACACACACUUAUUGAUUACCUACUAUGGGUCAUUUAAUCCAGCUAGUUGAUGUUAUCUGCUUCUUAACAACCACAAACUCAGCAACUGUAGUUAUUUUCUACAACAUUCAAUUAGGGGUUUAGUAAUCAUAAAUAUCAACAAAAUAGAGAUUUUAAUUAAAUUUAGUAAGGCAGAAAUUAUACAGGUAUAAUUAUACUCUUUUCUACCACUGAGCUAUGCAGAGGUAUAAUCACUAAGUGGAGAAAUUAAAGUAGCAUUCUAAUAGAACUUGGAAGUUCUAUGAGAUGAAUUCCUAUAUAUUUAGAUACUAUCCCCUGAAACUUCUGCUUCUGUACCUCUCCAUCAUCCUUUAACUUUAUGACAAUGAUAUUGGCUAAAAAGAACACCUGACUGUCCUCAUGUAAGGAGAAAUCUUUAAUGUAGGACAUUGAGGUUUCAAUUUUAUGUUCAAUAUUUAUCAUUUAUGCUCUACAUCUAUAAAGUGAGGGAGACAGAUACAGAGAGGGAGAGACAGGCAUACACACACACAUGCACACACACAAGCACACACAUAUAUACACAUCCACACAUGGUUAAAAUAAAUAUUAAAUGUUAUCCCAAGACAAUAAGUAGAAAAA
ensembl:lncRNA LINC01965 long intergenic non-protein coding RNA 1965